GCACUACUGAGGAGUCCUACGAUAGGACUAAACGAUCGUCCAGUGC
rnacentral:hammerhead_ribozyme from 1 species